GAUGAACGCUGGCGGUGUGCCUAAUACAUGCAAGUCGAGCGAACAGAUGCGGAGCUUGCUCCUCUGACGUUAGCGGCGGACGGGUGAGUAACACGUGGAUAACCUACCUCUAAGACUGGGAUAACUUCGGGAAACCGGUGCUAAUAACGGAUAAUAUAUUGAACCGCAUGGUUCAAUAGUGAAAGACGGUUUUGAUGUCACUUAUAGCUGGAUCCGCGUCGCAUUAGCUAGUUGGUAAGGUAACGGCUUACCAAGGCAACGAUGCGUAGCCGACCUGAGAGGGUGAUCGGCCACACUGGAACUGAGACACGGUCCAGACUCCUACGGGAGGCAGCAGUAGGGAAUCUUCCGCAAUGGGCGAAAGCCUGACGGAGCAACGCCGCGCGAGUGAUGAAGGUCUUCGGAUCGUAAAACUCUGUUAUUAGGGAAGAACAAAUGUGUAAGUAACUAUGCACGUCGUGACGGUACCUAAUGAGAAAGCCACGGCUAACUACGUG
rnacentral:rRNA from 1 species